UGGUUGAUUCUGCCAGUAGUCAUAUGCUUGUUUCACGGACUAAGCCAUGCAUGCCUCAGAAUGACUGCAUUGCAGGAAUCUGCGCAUGGCUCAUUACAUCAGACGUAAUCUGCCGCAAAUCUUUUGCGGUUUCCGCAAGACUGGAUACCUUGGCGAAAAGCCAAGCUAAUACAUGAAUCUAGCUGGCGUUCUCCGUUCAAUGCGGGCCUAGCCCGUAGUGAGGAUGCCGUGCGAAUGAAUGAAAUUAAAACCAAUGCCGCGGACGCGGCAGCAACACCAAGAAGUGUUGAUUCAAUUCAUUCUGGCGAAAGCUGAAUUUUCAGCGUCUUUUGACGAACAACUGCCCUAUCAGCCAGUGAUGGCCGUGAAGUGGACUGCCAUGGCGUUGACGGGAGCGGGGGAUUAGGGUUCGAUUCCGGAGAGGGAGCCUGAGAAACGGCUACCUCUUCUACGGAGGGCAGCAGGCGCGCAAAUUGCCCAAUGCCAAAAACUUGGUGAGGCAGCGAAAAGAAAUAGGCCUCCUUAGCACCACACGGUGCUUGGGAGAUUCCAAUGGGGGAUAUCCAAACCCAUCGAUCGAGUACCAAUUGGAGGACAAGUCUGGUGCCAGCACCCGCGGUAAUUCCAGCUCCAAGAGCGUAUAUUAACGCUGUUGCUGUUAAAGGGUUCGUAGUUGAACUGAGGGUGCGCAGGUAGUCGAUCCAGUCCCCACCUUGUCAAGGGUGCGGUGACUCUCGCUCCUGGCACUCGUGAACGACAGAAACAAAGACCACGGGAUUCCCUUCCCGCAACAUCAUCACGCGUGCGAUGCACGCCGUGUGCGGGAGCGCCCGUGAUUUUUACUGUGACUAAAAAAGCGCGACCAAAGCAGUCAGUCGACAUGAAUUUCAAAGCAUGGGAUAACAACGCAGCGACCUACGGGCUACCGUUUCGGCUUUUGUUGGUUUUAAAGGUCUGUGGGAGACUAUGGGCACGCACGACAAGCGGUCGGGGGCACCCUCGCGGUGUCUUCUACGCCUCGGGUGGCUCUGUUCACCGGCUUGCGGGUCCAGGAAUGAAGGAGGGUUGUUCGGGGGAGAACGUACUUGAGCGUGAGAGGUGAAAUUCUUAGACCGCUCAAAGACGAACUACAGCGAAGGCAUUCUCCAAGGAUACCUUCCUCAAUCAAGAACCAAAGUGUGGAGAUCGAAGAUGAUUAGAGACCAUUGUAGUCCACACCACAAACGGUGACCCCCAUGAAUUGGGGAGUAUUUGGCUGGUUGUGGCCUGGGCUUGCCCAGCGUCCACACCACCAAAAUGAUCAAUUUACGUGCACAUUCCAGACGUCAAGUCAACCGGGAAUAUCCUCAGCACGUUCUCUGACUGUCUCACGCGAAAGCUCGAGGUUACAGUCUCAGGGGGGAGUACGUUCGCAAGAGUGAAACUUAAAGAAAUUGACGGAAUGGCACCACAAGACGUGGAGCGUGCGGUUUAAUUUGAC
rnacentral:rRNA from 1 species